GGUUAACGCUGGCGGCGUGCCUAACACAUGCAAGUCGAACGGUUCUAAGCGCGAGCUUAGGAUAGUGGCGAACGGGUGAGUAAAAGGUAGGAAUCUACCCCUUGGACGGAGAUAGCUACUGGAAACGGUAGGUAAACUUCGAUAAGCCCGAGAGGGGAAAGUGGUGAGACAGCCGAGGGAUGAGCCUACUCUCCAUCAGGUAGUUGGUGAGAUAAAAGCUUACCAAGCCGAUGACGGAUAACCGGUGUGAGAGCAUGAACGGUCACAAGGGCACUGAGAGACGGGCCCUACUCCUACGGGAGGCAGCAGUGGGGAAUCUUGGACAAUGGGCGAAAGCCUGAUCCAGCGACGCCGCGUGGAGGAAGAAGUCCUUCGGGAUGUAAACUUCUGAACUAGCCGAAUAAAAGGCCUGUGGACACACAGGAGAAGAAAGUAGGCUAGGAAAAGUACCCGGCUAACUACGUG
rnacentral:rRNA from 1 species